rnacentral:rRNA from 1 species
ACGCACGCUGGCGGCGUGCUUAACCCAUGCAAGUCGCACGGGCCCGCUCUCUUUUUUGGGGGUGGGUUGAGUGGCGAACGGGUGAGUAUCACGUGAGUAACCUGCCCCCUGCUCCUGGAUAACUGCUUGAAAGGGCGGCUAAUACGGGGUGUGCCGGCUGGUCCGCAUGGGCCUGGUCGGGAUAGUUUCAUCUUCGGGUGUUUCGGUGGGGGAUGGGCUCGCGGCCUAUCAGCUUGUUGGUGGGGUGAUGGCCCACCAAGGCGGUGACGGGUAGCCGGCCUGAGAGGGUGGGCGGCCACACUGGGACUGAGACACGGGCCAGACUCCUGCGGGAGGCAGCAGUGGGGGGUAUUGCACAAUGGGCGGAAGCCUGAUGCAGCGACGUCGCGUGAGGGAUGGAGGCCUUCGGGUUGUGAACCUCUUUCUCCGGGGGUGAAGGCCCUGUCCGUUGCGGCGGGGUUGACGGUAGCCGGGUAUGAAGCGCCGGCUAACUACGUG